UACAGAGGGUGCAAGCGUUGCUCGGAAUCAUUGGGCGUAAAGGGCAGGUAGGUGGUCUGAUUUGUCUGGAGGUGAAAGCCUUGGGCUUAAUCCAAGAAGUGCCCCGGAAACGGUCAGACUUACGAGUCUUGGAGAGGGUGGCGGAAUUCCCGGUGUAGCAGUGAAAUGCGUAGAUAUCGAGAGGAACACCAGUGGCGAAGGCGAGUCCCUGGACAGCUCCUGACGCUGAGGCACGAAAGCUAGGGGAGCAAACAGG
rnacentral:rRNA from 1 species